rnacentral:rRNA from 1 species
GAUGAACGCUGGCGGCGUGCCUAAUACAUGCAAGUCGAGCGAACAGACGAGGAGCUUGCUCCUCUGACGUUAGCGGCGGACGGGUGAGUAACACGUGGAUAACCUACCUAUAAUACUGGGAUAACUUCGGGAAACCGGAGCUAAUACCGGAUAAUAUAUUGAACCGCAUGGUUCAAUAGUGAAAGACGGUUUUGCUGUCACUUAUAGCUGGAUCCGCGCCGCAUUAGCUAGUUGGUAAGGUAACGGCUUACCAAGGCAACGAUGCGUAGCCGACCUGAGAGGAUGAUCGGCCACACUGGAACUGAGACACGGUCCAGACUCCUACGGGAGGCAGCAGUAGGGAAUCUUCCGCAAUGGGCGAAAGCCUGACGGAGCAACGCCGCGUGAGUGAUGAAGGUCUUCGGAUCGUAAAACUCUGUUAUUAGGGAAGAACAAAUGUGUAAGUAACUAUGCACGUCUUGACGGUACCUAAUCAGAAAGCAACGGCUAACUACGUG